CCUACGUGUGGCAGCAGUGAGUAAUUUUGGUCAAUGGGCGAGAGCCUGAACCAGCCAAGUCGCGUGAAGGAUGAAGGAUCUAUGGUUUGUAAACUUCUUUUAUAUGGGAAUAAAGUGAGGAACGUGUUCCCUUUUGUCUUUACCAUAUGAAUAAUCAUCGGCUAACUCCGUGCCAGCAGCCGCGGUAAUACGGAGGGUGCGAUCGUUAUCCGGAUUUAUUGGGUUUAAAGGGUGCGUAGGUGGUUAAUUAAGUCAGCGGUGAAAGUUUGUGGGUCAACCAUAAGAUUGCCGUUGAAACUGGUUGACUUGAGUGUAUGUGAGGUAGGCGGAAUGCGUGGUGUAGCGGUGAAAUGCAGAGAUAUCACGCAGAACUCCGAUUGCGAAGGCAGCUUACUAGACUAUAACUGACACUGAAGCACGAAAGCGUGGGGAUCAAACAGGAUUAGAUACCCGGGUAGUC
rnacentral:rRNA from 1 species